rnacentral:rRNA from 1 species
UGCGCGAGUCAUUGGGACUAGCGAAACCUAAAGGCGCAAUGAAAGUGAAGGUCGGCCUCGCGCUGACCGAGGGAGGAUGGGUGGCGUCCGCGCCGCCCCGCACUCCCGGGGCGUCUCGUUCUCAUCGCGAGAAGAGGCGCACCCAGAGCGUACACGCUGGGACCCGAAAGAUGGAGAACUAUGCCUGGUCAGGACGAAGUCAGGGGAAACCCUGAUGGAGGUCCGUAGCGAUUCUGACGUGCAAAUCGAUCGUCGGAACUGGGUAUAGCGGCGAAAGACUAAUCGAUCUAUCUAGUAGCUGGUUCCCUCCGAAGUUUCCCUCAGGAUAGCUGGCGCUCGCUUUGCGAGUCUCAUCCGGUAAAGCGAAUGAUUAGAGGCAUUGGGGUCGAAACGGCCUCAACCUAUUCUCAAACUUUAAAUGGGUGAGAUCUCCGGCUUGCUCGAACUUGAAGCCGCGAGAAUUUUACAAGGAUCAGAGUGCCAAGUGGGCCAUUUUUGGUAAGCAGAACUGGCGCUGUGGGAUGAACCAAACGCCGAGUUAAAGCGCCUAAAUCGACGCUUAUGGGAUACCAUGAAAGGCGUUG